rnacentral:tRNA from 1 species
GGAGUAAUACUUUAAUAAAAAGGUUUAAUUUGCAGUUAAUUAUUGAAGUGUGUCUUCUUGCUCUU